rnacentral:rRNA from 1 species
CAGUCGCCGCGGUAAUACGUAGGUCCCGAGCGUUGUCCGGAUUUAUUGGGCGUAAAGCGAGCGCAGGCGGUUAGAAAAGUCCGAAGUGAAAGGCAGUGGCUCAACCAUUGUAGGCUUUGGAAACUGUUUAACUUGAGUGCAGAAGGGGAGAGUGGAAUUCCAUGUGUAGCGGUGAAAUGCGUAGAUAUAUGGGGGAACACCGGUGGCGAAAGCGGCUCUCUGGUCUGUAACUGACGCUGAGGCUCGAAAGCGUGGGGAGCGAACAGGAUUAGAUACCCCAGUAGUCCCUGUCUCUUAUACA